rnacentral:lncRNA from 1 species
GAUGAAUGCAUGAAGAAAUGCAUAUGAAACAGAUGCAAUUUACGAAUACGGGAGCCCAAGAAACUGUCUCCUUCUUAGAUACAACGUCUAGGGGUAGCAAAGUGCCCCAACGUAUGUAUUUAAAACAGUGACACAGACCCUUCGUUGGUUUGUUUACAGAGGGGAUCGAGACAAAACCCACACAUGAUGCAUAUGCGAAAGGCACAACACGGGGAUGUACAUAGUACGACAAUAUUC